AUUGAACGCUGGCGGCAGGCCUAACACAUGCAAGUCGAGCGAGCGGCGGCCGGGUGAGUAAUGCCUGGGAAUUGCCCAGUCGAGGGGGAUAACAGUUGGAAACGACUGCUAAUACCGCAUACGCUUGGAUUGCCUAGGUGGGAUUAGCUAGUUGGUGAGGUAGUGGCUCACCAAGGCGACGCUCCCUCGCUGGUCUGAGAGGUGGAUCAGCCACACUGGAACUGAGACACGGUCCAGACUCGUACGGGAGGCAGCAGUGGGGAAUAUUGCACAAUGGGGUAAACCCUAAUGCAGCCAUGCCGCGUGUGUGAAGAAGGCCUUCGGGUUGUAAAGCACUUUCAGCGGGGAGGCGUUACUCGCAGAAGAAGCACCGGCUAACUCCGUGCCAGCCGCCGCGGUAAUAC
rnacentral:rRNA from 1 species